UGGCGACCGGCGCACGGGUGAGUAACACGUAUCCAACCUGCCGAUGACUCGGGAUAGCCUUUCGAAAGAAAGAUUAAUACCCGAUGGCAUAGUUCUUCCGCAUGGUAGAACUAUUAAAGAAUUUCGGUCAUCGAUGGGGAUGCGUUCCAUUAGGUUGUUGGCGGGGUAACGGCCCACCAAGCCUUCGAUGGAUAGGGGUUCUGAGAGGAAGGUCCCCCACAUUGGAACUGAGACACGGUCCAAACUCCUACGGGAGGCAGCAUG
rnacentral:rRNA from 1 species